CUUUUAAGUGUUUUAUUUGAAAUUUACUUGAACUAAAAAAUAAGACAAUUUAAAUAAAUAAAGGAAGAGAGAAAUUCACCUAAAUGCCAGUUUUAUCCACACUAUUGUUGCAUUUUGUAAUUUUUAAAUGUAUAAUUUAUCUUGAAACAAUUUCCAGGAUGCAAUCCUGGUGUUUUUCACAAAAGAAGAUGGGACUGAAGGAAUGUCGAGUGGGACUCGACAAAGAAACUCCUGAGAUAAAAACUAAAAAUUAAGACAAUUUAAAUAAAAAUAGGAAGAAAGAAAUUCACCUAAGUACCAGUUUUAUCCACACUAUUGUUGCAUUUUGUAAUUUUUAAAUGUAUGAUUUAUCUUGAAACAAUUUCCAGGAUGCAAUCCUGGUGUUUUUCACAAAAGAAGAUGGGACUGAAGGAAUGUCGAGUGGGACUCGACAAAGAAACUCCUGAGAUAAAAACUAAAAAUUAAGACAAUUUAAAUAAAAAUAGGAAGAAAGAAAUUCACCUAAGUACCAGUUUUAUCCACACUAUUGUUGCAUUUUGUAAUUUUUAAAUGUAUAAUUUAUCUUGAAACAAUUUCCAGGAUACAAUCCUGGUUUUUUUCACAAAAGAAGGUGGGACUGAAGGAAUGUCGAGUGGGACUCGACAAAGAAGCUCCUGAGAUAAAAACUAAAAAUUAAGACAAUUUAAAUAAAAAUAGGAAGAAAGAAAUUCACCUAAGUACCAGUUUUAUCCACACUAUUGUUGCAUUUUGUAAUUUUUAAAUGUAUGAUAUAUCUUCAAACAAUUUUCAGGAUGCAAUCUUGGUGUUUUUCACAAAAGAAGGUGGGACUGAAGGAAUGUCGAGUGGGACUCGACAAAGCAGCUCCUGAGAUAAAAACUGAUGUGGAAUCACGCUCGACAUAGAAGUGCAAAUGGCAUACGUGAAAUGACAAAGGUAGAUCGUAUGAUAAGAGAAAAUGUUAUUUUUCCUAAACGUAUGAAGCAGAUGUGGCCAUUUGAACAGCGUACAGAUAUAGCGAAGAACUAUUUGCCGGAUAGAAAAUUUCCAAUUGCACAGAAAAUGCACGUACAAUAUUUGUGCAAUCAAGUCAUCGAUACGUGUAUUUAUAUUUCGACCUUAAUUUGAUAAUAGGCAUUGUGUGGUAUGACAAACACUUUGCUUACUCCUACGAGCCAAGUGUUAUCUAAUAAUUGAUUUCACAUAUUUAUUUCAACUUGAGAUCUAACAAUUCAUAAUUAUCACAGAUACUUCACUCGAUGUAACGAUACAAAGCAAAAAUUGAUAUAGUUACGAUGACUUAGUUGCAGUAAAAAAAAUCAUAAUAAAAGUUACAAUAAAAUUGAUUUAGUUAUAAUAAGUCUUAACCUUGAAGGGAAGUAACGCUUAUUUUAAUGAACUUUCUAUUAGCAGUAGCCUAAACGUAGACUCUUGCUCUAUUAUAUCAAUUUAUUCAAUGAUUAAUGUAAAUCCUGUAAAUAACUUUCUAUUCCACAGGCAAAGAAGUUAACGUCUUAAAGAAAAGUGACACUGAACUGGAAAUAGCUUCUGUCGCGAAAAAGUCAUUUUAAAAAUAUCUGCGUUCAGACACGCUUCUGCAGUAAAUCAGAGAAGCAUUUCAACACCUGUAGCAACAUUUUUAAAUACGUAUGUUACAGAAACAAGUCUUCUAUCGUAAGUGUCCGUAUUUACUAUACAGAGUGGUCGGUAAUUCAUUAUACAAAUGAGGUCAGAAAUUUUUUUUUUUAGAAACACGAGUUUGUAAAUUUGCAAAGUAUACGUACAUUUGCCUAAUUACUGGCUAGACAGCGGUAGAUGAUGAUCGACAGAACGUUAUUCUACGUGUGAAAAUAAGUCGAAGAAUGUGGAAUUACGUUUUUUUUAAAGUAAUUUUUAGCUAACGUAUUCAAGCUCCAUUUUGCCAAAAAACGAGAUCUCAAACGACGAAAUUUUAUUCUUCAUUUUCGAUUUAUUUAAUCCUGUCGAUUGCCUAUUCUUAUCCAGCCGAGAAUCGGUCGAAUUCACGUACACUUGAAAAAACUGUUCAAACUCGAUUCCUUCAAAACUGAAGAUUCCAAUUCUUAAUUUUCCUGCCAUUUCGAGCCAAAGAAUUUCUCUGAGCCUAUUCGUGCAAUAAAUUGCCGUAAUACACGCUUUCGAGUUCUGUCGAGUUACGAAGAAUUCAAUUGCGAUUAUCACGUAACGGAGGUGAACGUUCAACGAUCAAUUCGGCAUGAGCCCUCGGUUUGACAUUCUACUGUCCCACUUGAAACGAUCAAUGACUUAGUUUAACGAGCAGAUAUGCAAAUUAUUCGUAGCGUAGCAAAUAAGCUGGACUGAAUAUUUUUGCAGAAAAUAUCCGACUCGGAUAAUACGAGAGCAAACGUUCAACUACUAGAAACCUCAUUUUUUUUACCAAACUAUCGUAAAAUGAUACCACUGAUACAGGCACAGAUUAAUAUCAAGCGAUCUGGUUCGAAGGUUAGUCUUAUCUUAAUCGUUCUGCUUCGAGCUCGAAAAAAAUCUAUUCUUCUAUUGAUCAUGAUCUUUGCGUUCCGAGAAAACGGAAUCUAUUUUUCAACGAGAUUGGCAAAAAGAUUGUUCGAAGCGCGAUUAAAGCACGGCGUGAAAUAAAUCGUAAGUUUAAUAAAUAAAAGUUGACGAGGAAUUUGCGAUGUUUGGAUUUGGAAUCCAGAAAAUCGAAAUAAAUUCGGGGCAUUUUUUUCUUUAU